rnacentral:misc_RNA from 1 species
GGAGAGAAGAAGAAUCAUCAAUGCAUAAAACAGAAUUGUUCAUGGGCAUUGCAUCUGGCUAUAUGGAGUGACACAAAAUCUGAUUGACUGGUAAAGCAGGUGCAGCAGCUGACUAUUGCCUAAUACAAAACUCGAAUCCAAUGAUCUUUGAAUCAUGUAAAUAAAUCUGCUCAGAAAAUGCAUUCUGUAGUGCCACAGCCUGCAGGGUGACAGCAAUCUUAUCAUUGGUUUCCGGGGAAUGAACCUUCUUAGAUUACUGUUCCUGCUAAAUCCUUCUCUUACUGGCUACAAAAUUCACUGUUCCCUUCUAAUUCUAGGAGUG